UGGGUUGAUCGUUUUUUGUCAAUUACUGCUUGACUUCCUUCAAACAACUGUUAGCCAAAAUGAUUAAUUUCCUUUUUACUGUAUAUAUGCACAUAUAUUAUACAGUAUACUCUGAGAAUAUAGUAAAGCAUAGAAAGAGAACAAAGAUAGAGGGAUAGAAAGGAGGAGGAAGGAGUAAAGAGAGAUAGAGAGGAGGAAGGAGUAAAGAGAGAGUGAGAGAGGAGGAAGGAGUAAAGAGAGAUAGAGAGGAGGAAGGAGUAAAGAGAGAGAGAUAUAGAGAGGAGGAAGGAGUAAAGAGAGCUAUAGAGAGGAGGAAGGGGUAAAGAGAGAUAUAUAGAGAGGAGGGAGGAGUAAAGAGAGCUAUAGAGAGGAGGAAGGGGUAAAGAGAGAUAUAUAGAGAGGAGGGAGGAGUAAAGAGAGAUAUAUAGAGAGGAGGAAGGAGUAGAGAGAGGUAUAGAGAGGAGGAAGGAGUAGAGAGAGAUAUAGAGAGGAGGAAGGAGUAGAGAGAGAUAUAGAGAGAAGGAAGGGGUAAAGAGAGAUAUAUAGAGAGGAGGGAGGAGUAAAGAGAGAUAUAUAGAGAGGAGGAAGGAGUAGAGAGAGAUAUAUAGAGAGGAGGAAGGAGUAGGGAGAGAUAUAGAGAGGAGGAAGGAGUAGAGAGAGAUAUAGAGAGGAGGAAGGAG
rnacentral:lncRNA from 1 species